rfam:Methanoregula formicica SMSP chromosome, complete genome.
GGGCGAGUGGCUUAGCCCGGACAUAGCGUCAGCCUCCUAAGCUGAACGCCGGGGGUUCAAAUCCCCCCUCGCCCG